UCCCUCUGUGGGGCGAUCGAUC
rnacentral:miRNA from 1 species